GAUGAACGCUGGCGGCGUGCCUAAUACAUGCAAGUCGAGCGAACAGACGAGGAGCUUGCUCCUUCGACGUUAGCGGCGGACGGGUGAGUAACACGUAGGUAACCUACCUAUAAGACUGGGAUAACUUCGGGAAACCGGAGCUAAUACCGGAUAAUAUUUCGAACCGCAUGGUUCGAUAGUGAAAGAUGGCUUUGCUAUCACUUAUAGAUGGACCUGCGCCGUAUUAGCUAGUUGGUAAGGUAACGGCUUACCAAGGCAACGAUACGUAGCCGACCUGAGAGGGUGAUCGGCCACACUGGAACUGAGACACGGUCCAGACUCCUACGGGAGGCAGCAGUAGGGGAUCUUCCGCAAUGGGCGAAAGCCUGACGGAGCAACGCCGCGUGAGUGAUGAAGGUCUUCGGAUCGUAAAACUCUGUUAUUAGGGAAGAACAAACGUGUAAGUAACUGUGCACGUCUUGACGGUACCUAAUCAGAAAGCCACGGCUAACUACGUG
rnacentral:rRNA from 1 species